GUCAGGACAACUCUUGUCAUUUUGCUCUUGCUCUUCUCACAGUAGAUGUUUCCUGUGAAGACUGAAAUUCAUCUUCAGCACUGUUUACAUUCCUGCACAGAAUAUAGCUACUUUAGUAAAAUGAAGAUGCCCUCUCACUGGAGCACAGGAGCCACUGGGCCACAGCCUCUCCCUUGGUAGCACAGAGAGCAUCCAGAUCCUGCCUGGAGGUUUGGGAGGACUGAUUCCUUCCCAGGAAAGGCCCCUUCAUCUCCUUUGCUACAGAAACAAGCAACAAAUGGCAGAAAAGACAGCAGAGCAGGCCCUGGCAAGAGGAUCCGAGGCACUGGAAGUGCAGCAAGGAUCCCACGGCGGUGUCUCAACAGGAUGGGCUGGAGCCUGAGGCUGGAACAUGUGUGGGAUGCCAAGAGGAGGAAUCUGAUGUGCAGCUUGCUGGAGAGUCACACUGCAGGUCCCCCAGCUGAAUAUCAAUUCCCUUAUCCUCCUCCCACCUUGUGUAAGGAAAAUGUGAUUCUUAGCUAAGUUAGCUAAGAACUUUGCAUUGGAGUUGAAAACUCAACUGUCUGGAGAGUUAAAACAUGAGCAAUAGAAAGAACUUUUGAAGAGGAGGAGGUGAAGAAGUGAUUCAGAGGAUAAACAGCAGCAGAGGAGGUACUUAUUGUUUCAUGGUAGUGUGGACACUGCACUGCAGUGAGCAGGAAGACAGCACAUGUCCCCGGGAGCAGGGGAGCAAGAGACACUCACAGAAAUAAGCAGCUGUUGUGUGGGAGAAUGACAUGAUGUGGAUUUGAUGCAAAUCUUACUCCCACCAGCAAGGCUGGUCACUCUUGGUGACAAUUAGGAGAGAUUUAAACUUUGAGCAUUAUGUGAUGCUCAAGAAAUUGGAAAUAAGCCAGGCUAAAGAUGUUCCUUCACGAGUCCAAUGGACAGUAUUGUAAACUACCAACAAGUAAGUAUUUUCAAGACUAGAAGUCCUGACUGAAGCACUUUUGAAGCCAUGAAGGAAAAAAACCAGCUUUUAUACGACUUUCUCACUAUCUAAACAUAGAAAAAUUUGUAUGUGCUUCAUGAUCUCAUGUUAUUUCAACUUCGCUAAGUUGACUGAAGAAAUUUUAGUGCCUGUGAAUCCAAAUGCCAAAAUCAGGUCCUUCUUUUGGUCAUCUUCUUGUUGACCUAGCAGGGACAACAGAAAUUGGUGGUUGUGCUCAAAAAUAAGGGGUGUUUUUUUAGUUUUCAGGGAAAUCUACUUAGACACAACCUACAAGCUGGAGAGGCAUCAACUGAUGAAUAAGCAAUCUGUUAACAACUUGGACUAAAAACAAAGCACUGAUGAGGGCUGGGGAAUAAAGCCAGACAUUUUGGAUAGCAAAUGUAAUCAAUAACCUGCCAGUUUGUAGAAUGUGCAUAGUGCUCUUCUGGGUGUUUUUUUGACCAAGAUGGGAAAGAGAUUUGGUCUUUGGCAGCAAGCUGGGCAUCUACAGAUUUGGAAAUCAAAAUGUGGCAGAAGAAAUUCUGUGGAGGAUGCCUUUACUGCAGUGGAUUAUCUGGCUACUUAUAGGACCUUACAGGAACUAGUCAGUAUUAAAAAGCUAGUAAUGUUGCCCUUCUUGAUAGGAAGGCCAUUUUUAGUGUCAGUACUACUGGUUUUAACAGCUAAGAAAUAAAUGCUUGCAGUUGAGUAGCCUGUGGAAAAAGCUUUGACCUCUCCACAGCAGACCACUUACCUUGCCAGUCUUGCCAGGGAGGCCAAGACUGAACAGAUGAAACAAAGACUGAAUUGCUCAUUUAUCCCAUGGGUAUAUUUGUCAUUGGAGGACUACUAAAACAUCUAACAUUUUUUCCAAGACCUACCAUCAACCAUUAUAUAAGUUGUUGGCAUUGAAAUAAUAACAGUUGUACUAACACCGCCACCAAUAAUAAUAAAUCAAGC